CAGUCAGGACUCAGCAUGGACAUGAGGGCCCCUGUUCGGCUCCUUGGACUCUUGUUGCUCUGGUUUCCAGGUGCCACAUGUGACAUCCAGAUGACCCAGUCUCCAGCCUCCCUGUCUGCCUCUCUGGGAGACAGAGUCACCAUUACUUGUAAGGCCAGUCAGGACAUUAGUAAUUCUUUAAGUUGGUAUCAGCAGAAACCAGGGAAAGCUCCUAAGCUCCUGAUGUUUUAUACAAACAAGUUGGCAGAUGGGAUCCCAUCGCGGUUCAGUGGCAGUGGGUCUGGGACAGAUUAUUCUCUCACCAUCAGCAGCCUGGAGGCUGAAGAUGCUGGCAUUUAUUACUGUCAGCAGUAUGAUGAGUAUCCUCUCACAGUGAUACAAGUCAUAACAUAA